UAUAGGUUCAACUACCAGCCCCACCACAACUACUACAGCUUCAACUACCAGACCGACCCCAACUACUACAGGAACAAUGCCAAGAACGUCCACUCAAAAACGUCGGCUUCACCCGCGAGACUUCGGGCUCUAUUUUGACAGCUGGGGCUGCAAGCACCAAGUUUUGUGGUGGCGAAACCAACC